rnacentral:rRNA from 1 species
AAGCGUGCGCAGGCGGUUAUGUAAGACAGAUGUGAAAUACCCCGGGCUCAACCUGGGAACUGCAUUUGUGACUGCAUGGCUAGAGUACGGUAGAGGGGGAUGGAAUUCCGCGUGUAGCAGUGAAAUGCGUAGAUAUGUGGAGGAACACCGAUGGCGAAGGCAGCCCCCUGGGUCAAGAUUGACGCUCAUGCACGAAAGCGUGGGGAGCAAACAGGAUUAGAUACCCUAGU